UGGGGAAUAUUGGACAAUGGGCGCAAGCCUGAUCCAGCCAUGCCGCGUGAGUGAUGAAGGCCCUAGGGUUGUAAAGCUCUUUCACCGGUGAAGAUAAUGACGGUAACCGAAGAAGAAGCCCCGGCUAACUUCGUGCCAGCAGCCGCGGUAAUACGAAGGGGGCUAGCGUUGUUCGGAUUUACUGGGCGUAAAGCGCACGUAGGCGGACUUUUAAGUCAGGGGUGAAUUCCCGGGGCUCAACCCCGGAACUGCCUUUGAUACUGGAAGUCUUGAGUAUGGUAGAGGUGAGUGGAAUUCCGAGUGUAGAGGUGAAAUUCGUAGAUAUUCGGAGGAACACCAGUGGCGAAGGCGGCUCACUGGACCAUUACUGACGCUGAGGUGCGAAAGCGUGGGGAGCAAACAGG
rnacentral:rRNA from 1 species